UCUUGUGGAUAAGCAAAGAGAGAGAUUUCUUGAGAUAGAAUCUACUUCUGGUAAUCAUGUUUUUGAC
rnacentral:pre_miRNA from 1 species